rnacentral:rRNA from 1 species
UGAGCAAUCUGCCCUUCUCAUCGGAAUAAGCGUUGGAAACGACGUCUAAUGCCGAAUACGACCUCCUUUCGCAUGAUCGGAGGUGGAAAGCUCCGGCGGAGAAGGAUGAGCUCGCGGCCUAUCAGCUAGUUGGUGUGGGUAAUGGCCCACCAAGGCGACGACGGGUAGCCGGCUUGAGGAGGGUGACCGGCCACACUGGGACUGAGACACGGCCCAGGACCUCCGUACGGGAGCAGG